ACAGUUGUAAAACACUAUUAAGAUCAUCUACAUCAUCCUAUCACGCCAUGUCUGUUAAACCACAUGCGUAUGUUGCAGAUCAGAGCUGUUUGCUGUCUGCUAGGAAGAGUCAAAACCUGUCAUCUGUUCUGGGGCCUGGCCAGCUCUCGCCUUGGGGCUGCUGCUUGGCCUUCAUCUCCUAUAGCCACAAUGUGUUUAUCACUGUGUUCAGGCUGCUAAAAACAUUGCUGGAAUGAAGAGCAUUGUCAGCAAGCAUAUGCUGGUCAAAUCAGGAGGCAUGAAGAAUUUGCUUAUGUACUUCUAAGCCAAGACACUGGCUAUUGGUGGACAGAAUCUUCCCUCUAUGUUGGGGUUUUUUUGCUGUUGUUUUUUGUUUUUGUUUGUUUUUUGUUUCCUCCUCCCUACUUUUAUCAGGAAACUCAAACUCAGAGAUGUUGGAAACCAGGAAUUUAUUCUUUGGAAAAAAUCAAUGUACAGGUGAAUAGGAAUGUAAAGGAAACAGGACUGUUAAGAUAAGUUAUCAUUCAGAGUCUGAUUUUUGUCAGUGGACUUUUGUAAAGGACAUCUACUAAAAGGUCAUUAAAGAGUAAAAAAAAAAAAAAAAAAAAGCUGUAACUUCUGCAAAAGUAAAAUGGGAGCUUAAAUAGGGAUGAAAAUCAUGCUGCCUUUAUAUAUGUAGGAAUUUAUAUAUGUGUAUACAUUUAUUUCUGUUGUUUGCUGUCUAGAUGCUGGCUAAUGGAAGUUCUGUAUGUGAGCUGAAAUAUAAAAGCUGACUGGCACUUGACAUGAAAAACAAUUUUUCUUCUUAGCUCUUCAUGCUAACAUUGAGUUCUGUGCAACUUAAGUAACAAGCACAAUACUCAAUGCUUCAUGCCUCACUUCUAAGUUAUGUUUCUAAGAGUGUGUCUGAAGUUAUGGGAUGCAUUAACCAUUUUGUGAAUUGAAAUGCUUUUCCUAAUGAAAAUUUUGUAUUGCUUCC
rnacentral:lncRNA from 7 species